AUUGAACGCUGGCGGCAGGCCUAACACAUGCAAGUCGAACGGUAACAGGAAACAGCUUGCUGUUUCGCUGACGAGUGGCGGACGGGUGAGUAAUGUCUGGGAAACUGCCUGAUGGAGGGGGAUAACUACUGGAAACGGUAGCUAAUACCGCAUAACGUCGCAAGACCAAAGAGGGGGACCUUCGGGCCUCUUGCCAUCGGAUGUGCCCAGAUGGGAUUAGCUAGUAGGUGGGGUAACGGCUCACCUAGGCGACGAUCCCUAGCUGGUCUGAGAGGAUGACCAGCCACACUGGAACUGAGACACGGUCCAGACUCCUACGGGAGGCAGCAGUGGGGAAUAUUGCACAAUGGGCGCAAGCCUGAUGCAGCCAUGCCGCGUGUAUGAAGAAGGCCUUCGGGUUGUAAAGUACUUUCAGCGGGGAGGAGGGGAGUAAAGUUAAUACCUUUACUCAUUGACGUUACCCGCAGAAGAAGCACCGGCUAACUCCGUG
rnacentral:rRNA from 1 species